rnacentral:rRNA from 1 species
CGAAAAAUGAAUACCAAGUCUCAAGAGUGAACACGUAAUUCAUUACGAAGUUUAAUUCAUUGAGCAUCAAACUUUUAAAUUGAAGAGUUUGAUCAUGGCUCAGAUUGAACGCUGGCGGCAGGCCUAACACAUGCAAGUCGAACGGUAACAGGAAGCAGCUUGCUGCUUUGCUGACGAGUGGCGGACGGGUGAGUAAUGUCUGGGAAACUGCCUGAUGGAGGGGGAUAACUACUGGAAACGGUGGCUAAUACCGCAUAACGUCGCAAGACCAAAGAGGGGGACCUUCGGGCCUCUUGCCAUCAGAUGUGCCCAGAUGGGAUUAGCUUGUUGGUGAGGUAACGGCUCACCAAGGCGACGAUCCCUAGCUGGUCUGAGAGGAUGACCAGCCACACUGGAACUGAGACACGGUCCAGACUCCUACGGGAGGCAGCAGUGGGGAAUAUUGCACAAUGGGCGCAAGCCUGAUGCAGCCAUGCCGCGUGUAUGAAGAAGGCCUUCGGGUUGUAAAGUACUUUCAGCGGGGAGGAAGGUGUUGUGGUUAAUAACCGCAGCAAUUGACGUUACCCGCAGAAGAAGCACCGGCUAACUCCGUGCCAGCAGCCGCGGUAAUACGGAGGGUGCAAGCGUUAAUCGGAAUUACUGGGCGUAAAGCGCACGCAGGCGGUCUGUCAAGUCGGAUGUGAAAUCCCCGGGCUCAACCUGGGAACUGCAUUCGAAACUGGCAGGCUUGAGUCUUGUAGAGGGGGGNNNNNNNNNNNNNNNNNNNNGAAAUGCGUAGAGAUCUGGAGGAAUACCGGUGGCGAAGGCGGCCCCCUGGACAAAGACUGACGCUCAGGUGCGAAAGCGUGGGGAGCAAACAGGAUUAGAUACCCUGGUAGUCCACGCCGUAAACGAUGUCUACUUGGAGGUUGUGCCCUUGAGGCGUGGCUUCCGGAGCUAACGCGUUAAGUAGACCGCCUGGGGAGUACGGCCGCAAGGUUAAAACUCAAAUGAAUUGACGGGGGCCCGCACAAGCGGUGGAGCAUGUGGUUUAAUUCGAUGCAACGCGAAGAACCUUACCUGGUCUUGACAUCCACGGAAGUUUUCAGAGAUGAGAAUGUGCCUUCGGGAACCGUGAGACAGGUGCUGCAUGGCUGUCGUCAGCUCGUGUUGUGAAAUGUUGGGUUAAGUCCCGCAACGAGCGCAACCCUUAUCCUUUGUUGCCAGCGGUCCGGCCGGGAACUCAAAGGAGACUGCCAGUGAUAAACUGGAGGAAGGUGGGGAUGACGUCAAGUCAUCAUGGCCCUUACGACCAGGGCUACACACGUGCUACAAUGGCGCAUACAAAGAGAAGCGACCUCGCGAGAGCAAGCGGACCUCAUAAAGUGCGUCGUAGUCCGGAUUGGAGUCUGCAACUCGACUCCAUGAAGUCGGAAUCGCUAGUAAUCGUGGAUCAGAAUGCCACGGUGAAUACGUUCCCGGGCCUUGUACACACCGCCCGUCACACCAUGGGAGUGGGUUGCAAAAGAAGUAGGUAGCUUAACCUUCGGGAGGGCGCUUACCACUUUGUGAUUCAUGACUGGGGUGAAGUCGUAACAAGGUAACCGUAGGGGAACCUGCGGUUGGAUCACCUCCUUACCUUAAAGAAGCGUACUUUGCAGUGCUCACACAGAUUGUCUGAUGAAAA